rnacentral:rRNA from 1 species
AUUGAACGCUGGCGGCAGGCCUAACACAUGCAAGUCGAACGAGUGGCGGACGGGUGAGUAAUGUCUGGGAAACUGCCUGAUGGAGGGGGAUAACUACUGGAAACGGUAGCUAAUACCGCAUACAACAGGAGGGGCCCAGAUGGGAUUAGCUAGUUGGUGGGGUAAGGGCUCACAAAGGCGACGAUCCCUAGCUGGUCUGAGAGGAUGACCAGCCACACUGGAACUGAGACACGGUCCAGACUCCUACGGGAGGCAGCAGUGGGGAAUAUUGCACAAUGGGCGAAAGCCUGAUGCAGCCAUGCCGCGUGUAUGAAGAAGGCCUUCGGGUUGUAAAGUACUUUCAGCGGGGAGGCGUUACCCGCAGAAGAAGCACCGGCUAACUCCGUGCCAGCAGCCGCGGUAAUAC